CAUAACGAAAAUGUUGGUUAAAAAAAUGUAUAAUUAAUCAUGAUUAUAAUAAACAAUUUUUCUGAAAAGAAAUAUUCUAUAGUUUGUGCAUUGGAAGGUCUUUUUUUUGAUUUUCCAAGCGGUUUUCAAAUAAUUGGGAAAAUCUUAAAAGAAAGUUAUAGGUAAAACAGCAAAUAUUUACGGCUCAUUUCAUCAUUGACGAUUUUAUUGUUUAUAUAAUUUUUGUAAUAUAUGGUUUUUAACAGAAAUAUUGCUAAUUGCUGUAUACUUAUCUAAUAUUAAUACCUAUAGAAAUCAUGCUACACAUGAACGUACAUUACUUAUCUGUUUACACUGGGAACAUUUUUUGUCUGAUUCAUAUCUUUGUCACGUUCUAUGUUAUCAGUUAUCACCUAAGUUAAGGUUGUAGGAGAGUAGUAAUUGUGCAUUAUUAACCGUCGACCGCCCUAAACCCACUCAAGUGAUACUCCAUUACUUAACUCCAACCCAAUAUUAAAAGUGGAAUAUCUCGUAAACGGUAAACUAAAUGUGAAUAAUCAAUUUGCAAAGAUAUAAUAAAGUAAUACAUUUUCAGAAUCCAAAUUGGAAAUGAUUAAUUUAUACUAUUUCCUCUUGACUGCAACAUUAUACUUAAAGCGGGCAGGUUUUAUUGCCCGAAAAACUGCCCAGUGCAGUCGAAUCAUG